UCAGGGAAACCGUUGGUCUACCCAAUUUUCUUUCUUUAUCAUCCUUCUAUUUUCGUUACUCUUCCUGCCACCGUGUAGGGCAAGCCUUCCAAUUUGGUGCUUUCAUUGUCCUCCCAUGGCGGAACACAGCCGCUCAGAGGAUCUUGACGCGGCCAUUAACCAGCGUGAUAUGAACGCUCGAUUAGAGAGGUUGGAGUCUUCUCUUGAUGGAAUCACUCGUGCCAUCGGAGUCUCCGGUUCCGAUUCCGACGCUCAACAGUGGAUUAUUGCAGCAGAGGUUGAGGAAAGAAAAGGGAGCAAAAGACCAUGAAAAGAAAGAAGAGGCUUACCUUUACGCCAUUAUAAUGGCGGCAUGACAUGAAGAUCCUACACAGCAGAUAGGA